GGUCUUAUAUUCAAUGAUGAUUUUAGACUGCAAUUCUAAAGGUGUAAUGUUUACUAAGGCCU
rnacentral:tRNA from 1 species